CAUGUCCCUACAAAGGACAUGAACUCAUCAUUUUUUAUGGCCGCAUAGUAUUCCAUGGUGUAUAUGUGUCAUAUUCAGUUUCCAUUAGUUGAGUGGUUUUGAGUGAGUUUCUUAAUCCUGAGUUCUAGUUUGAUUUCACUUGGCUGGAUCUGAAAUUCUGGGUUGAAAAUUCUUUUCUUUAAGUAUGUUGAAUAUUGGCCCCCACUCUCUUCUGGCUUGUAGAGUUUCUGCCAAGAGAUCAGCUGUUAGUCUGAUGGGCCUCCCUUUGUGGGUAACCCGACCUUUCUCUCUGGCUGCCCUUAACAUUUUUUCCUUCAUUUCAACUU
rnacentral:lncRNA from 10 species